CAGGCGCGGUAAUAACGUAGGGGGUAAGGCGUGUCCGGAUUUACUGGGUGUAAAGGGCGCGUAGCGGGUCCGUAGUCAGAGGUGAAAUCCUGCAGCUUAACUGCAGAACUGCCUUUGAUACUGCGGAUCUUGAAUUCAGAAGAGAGAGAAUGGAAUUCCAGGUGUAGUGGUGAAAUACGUAGAUAUCUGGAAGAACACCAGUGGCGAAGGCGAUCUCUUGGUCUGAUAUUGACGCUGAAGGCGCGAAAAGCGUGGGUAGCAAACAGGAUUAGAUACCCUGGUAGUCCACGCUGUAAACGAUGAAUACUAGAUGUUGGGCAGAAAUGUUCAGUGUCGCAGCUAACGCAUUAAGUAUUCCACCUGGGGAGUACGAUCGCAAGGUUGAAACUCAAAGGAAUUGACGGGGGCCCGCACAAGCAGUGGAGCAUGUGGUUUAAUUCGAUGCAACGCGAAGAACCUUACCUGGGCUUGAAAGGCAAGUGACCGGGUGUGAAAGCACC
rnacentral:rRNA from 1 species